rnacentral:rRNA from 1 species
CAGUAGCCGCGGGAAUACGUAGGUGGCAAGCGUUGUCCGGAAUUAUUGGGCGUAAAGGGCUCGCAGGCGGUUUCUUAAGUCUGAUGUGAAAGCCCCCGGCUCAACCGGGGAGGGUCAUUGGAAACUGGGAAACUUGAGUGCAGAAGAGGAGAGUGGAAUUCCACGUGUAGCGGUGAAAUGCGUAGAGAUGUGGAGGAACACCAGUGGCGAAGGCGACUCUCUGGUCUGUAACUGACGCUGAGAGACGAAAGCUAGAGGCGCAAAUGGGAUUAGAUACCCGCGUAGUCCCUGUCUCUUAUAC